CUAAAAAGAAACAUUGUAGCAUUUGUUCUGUAAGGCAAAAGUUGUAUUUAGAGUAAUUAAAGGGGAAGUCCACUUUUCUUGAAAUGUAGGUUCAUUAUAGCACUUAUUAGCACCUACAUCAGUACACCUAGCUAUUAUUAUGUCUGUUGUUUGCAUUUUUCUUCUGGGCUACUCAGUUUCAAAGUAACAAAUUCUGCUAAAAUCGAAUUGAUUUUCUAUGUGUCACCAUUGCAUAUGUUUUUUAAAUGUCAAAAAGGCUGCUUUCUGACCAGGAGACGAUAGUGGUAUCGUUUUAUCUGUCCUGUCUCAUACUCAGGAAGAAGGAGGAAGCUUCAUCUUUCAUUGUUGAUGUUUAGGAAGCAUUCUGCUAGAAAUUAACACAACCAUGUUGUCACUUCAUAAUGACCAACCUAUAGUGUAAUUCACAUCUUGAUAUUCUGUUACCACAGUGGCGCAGUGGGUAGCGCUGCUGCCUCGCAGUUAGGAGACCCGGGUUUGCUUCCUGGGUCUUCCCUGUGUGGAGUUUGCAUGUUCUCCCCGUGCCUGCGUGGGUUUCCUCCGGGCACUCCGGUUUCCUCCCACAGUCCAAAGACAUGCCGGUUAGGUGCAUUGGAGAUUCUAAAUUGUUCCUAGUGUGUGCUUGGUGUGUGUGUGUGUGCGCAUGUGCCCUGUGGUGGGCUGGCGCCCUGCCUGGGGUUUUUUCCUGCCUUGCGCCCUGUGUUGGCUGGGAUUGGCUCCAGCAGACCCCCGUGACCCUCUAGUUAGAAUAUAGUGGGUUGGAUAAUGGAUGGCUGAAUGGAUAUUAUGUUACAUAUUUCAAAAUGUAAAUAGAAAGCAUUUGGGCUACUGAACUGAUUUAGUGCCCUGAGAUGGACUGGCACACUUCCUUUCUUGUACCUCAUGUUGUCAGGGUGGGCUUCAGGACACUGAAAAAAUUAAAUGGCUUGAAAAUGGAUGGAUGGUUCAGUAAUUUCUUCAAUGCACACAAUGGUGACAGGACCAGCUGUAAAAAUAGAUUGGGUAACUUGAGUAAACGCAAGAAUGGAUGAAGUAGUUUACAAUAAAAAAUCUGCUAACACAGCUGCAGCUGUCGGGAGUGAGCUGGCGGUUUAAGAUAAUCACCAUAUAUCAGUUUGUACUAGGAACAUACUGUAUAUAUACCAUAGAUAUGGGGUCUCAACAUGGGUCUAAGUGUUAUAAUGAGCCUAUAUAUCAAUUUCCCCUUCAGUAUUAGCUGUUCUACAAAGAAUUGAAUGAGCCAAUUGGUAAAUGAUUUGGGCCUCUCCUUUAGUUUGGACCUGCAGGGUUUUUUCUCCCCACUAUCUACCCUGUUUUCUUUUCCUCUGGCAUGCUCAGGAAUUUCUGUUCAGUCUUCCUUUGCAGUUCAGUGUUCUGCAGUGCUUGCUUACACUUUUCCCACUUUUAAAAGGGAGCAGCAAUGAAACUGGGCAGCCAUGUCUUAUUUUACAGGAUAUCUUGUGAAUGAAUGAUGAAAGUAGUGUUGGAUUUAGAAGCAGGAUGUUUGAAAGUGUUUGACGUUUAACUUUUCUUAUUCAUUCUCUGUGUGCCACUACCAAAGCCAUAUAUUUUUAGGAAGUAAAAUUUCUCUUUUGUGACACACAUUGCCCAUGUCAUUCUCAUUUCGAUUAAAUUCGGCUGAUUUCAAAUGUCACAUCUGAGAUUAUUUUAAAGGCAUAAUAGGAAAGACCAUGAUUCGGAUAUAGGGAAACAACUCUUAACACUUGUUAGGGUGAAAGGGAAGUUGUUCAAUAUUUUAGAGAAGAACCUUUCCUAUGUUUCUGCAUGCAGUGUAUCCAUUAAUACUGAUUGCAGUCUACAUGUCGUCAUUUCCGUUGUUCUGUAUGACAUUGUGGCAGAAGAGAAGUUUUACUGCUGUAAACACAGUUACGGUUUUUGGAAUCAGACCACAUUUUAGGACUGUGUACCAUUUUACAUUAUUGUUCUAACUUUAAAGGGAGUGGUGCCUGGUACUUUUCUUACAACAGGCAUUUCUGUUGAAGCACAAUGUCCCAGACAGGGACAUUCUAAAAACCUAGAUUUGCCCUUCUUACUUAUGAAGUACUCUUAUGAUUCAUACAAAGCACUUUAAGUGAUUUAUAGAUUUUUUGGAUGUUAAAAUAAAAGGAAAAAGAUUUCAAGUCUCUUUUUUGAAAUAGAGAAGAUACAGUAUGUUUCAAACAAAAAAGACACUGACUGCUCAGUCAUUCAAGUCUUUCUGGUUAGUCAAUACUUAAGCAGUCUCAAUGUUUCAUCCAAAUAUAUCUUACGAGUCCUCAGGGUCUUCUCUUCACCUACAUGUCUUAGUAGUUUCUUCUGGAUUUCCAUGACUUUCUGUGUGUUAGCUGGUUUCUCUCUUCAAUGCAUCUCCCUUAAUUUGUAUGGAUUCUGCAGCCCCCAGAGUCCUCAAAUGACUGUUUAACUGAAUUUUGUGGCAUCGUCUUUUCCAGUACUUUUUUGUGAUUUGCUUUAGUUGUUUUUAAUGUCUUCAUGUCUGUUCUAGAUUUUCCUCCACGUAACUUUAAUUAAAUGGUUCCCUUUUGAGCGAGUAUGGUUAUGUGGCUGAAUAGGCACCAUAAUGGAUGGGCUCCUCAUUCAUGUUUGUUUUCUGCCUUGCAUCCAGUGCUUCCAAGACAAGCUUCAUAGGUUUAUAUGACCCUGAAUGGCACAAAGCUAGUAAGAGAAUGGAAGGGUAGGUUGUCCACCAGCAUUAUUGAUUUUUUCCUUCCACACUUUGACCCCUCCACUGAAACAAACUUUUUUCCUCCGUGCUAUACCAGAUUUUUAAUUACUGCAUGCAGAUAUCCUUGAAAGUCACGUCAGACCUUUGUUUUCUUAUGUAAACCUCACAAAGUAUCUAUAUUACUAAACAACAGUUUAAUUUAUGCACAGCGGAUGCACCGAAGUGCAUGCGCACUGUGCUGCAGCGCCCCAGAGUCAAACCCAGCGGCUUCCCAGAGUCAGUAGGUGGCACCCAAACAACACAACCUGUAAACUUAACUUGCUCUAAUCCACUGUGCCAGCAGUCGAUGUCAGCAGAGGCAAAAGAGUCACGGCUCCAAAUGGAAAGAGCUCAACGAUUUGUAAUACAAAACCGAGCCCGUAGUUCCCAGAGUCAGUGCGUGGUGCCCAAACACCACAACCUGUAAACUACACCUGCUCUAAUCCACUGUGCCAGCAGUCAGUGCGUGUAAGUUGGAGUAUGCUUCCUAACAGUAAACGACUUCUACCUAACGACACAGCCACAGAACAACAAAGACGAGACCGCAUGGAUAAAAACAAUACGACGCGCUUCAGACACACCAGAAGCAAAGACAUCACAGCUCCACAAUGAAACAGCUCAACUAACGGAAAUACAAAAUGAGCCCGUAUGGAUAAACACAAUGAACGAACACGCCCACAACGCUCUUCUGACACAGCAGAGGCAAAGGAGUCACGGCUCCAAAUGGAAGGAGCUCAACGAUUAGUAAUACAAACACGAACCCGUAUGGCUACGACCUGUAAACGAGCCCGUAUGGAUAAAAACAAUGAAUGAAGGUGCCCACACAAAGAAACCGCUUUAGUACAAAUAUGUUUAUUUAAUUAAAUGAAAACUUUACCAUGGCUACGACCUGUGAACUAAACCUGACGUAAAGCGUGCACGCCAGAUUGUACAGCCGCCCGGACGCAACCGCCCACACCACCGCAUAUACCAACUUCAUUUAGUAAUGUAGCCCUCCAUGCCCGGAUCCGCCGCCAUGGUCACUUCAGCACGUGAAUCCGCCGCCGUCAGCAAACGACGUCUCCUAGACGACACAGCCAUAGAAAAACAAAAAAAGAGACUGCAUGGAUAAAAACAAUAAACGAAGGCGCCUACAACGCGCUUCUGAAACACCAGAACCAGAUGAGUCACAGUUCCAAAAAGAAACCGCUUUAGUACAAAUAUGUUUAUUUAAUUAAAUGACAUUUCCCAAGACGCACCCACCCUCCAUGAUAUUUCAUCCCUCCAAAUAUCGGAGGGAACAGAAAGUGAUUGCCAUUCUUGGAUUUGUGAUUCUGUCGAGAAUCGCGGGGUUGCUGGUCUUCUAGAAUUCAUAUUCUAGCUUUGGGAUUCAGAAGGGAACAGACAGCUCAGCUGAGGUGGUAAUGCUGACUGUCCAGACUGGGCUAUUGCUGCUGUAGCAUGCAUCCAUAUGAAACUGUUCUCCAUGUAGCUGGUGACUUUUUAAAAAAGCUAUUUUGUAUUCUGUUGGCCGAGUGGUUAGCACUACAUUGCCACAGAUCUCCAGAAGGCUGGGUUCUAAUUAUUGGCCAGGCAUUGUCUGUGUGGAAUUUGCACAUUUUCUUUAUGUUGAAAUGUGUUUUUUCUCUCGAAGGUCAGUCUUUGCUCAAAGAGACAUGGGUUCCAAUUUGCUUUGUCCUGGAGUGAGGGAGUGUUUAUAUGUCAACCCAUCCAGGUUAGUUUCCAGCUUAAUGCAGAUGCUGAUGGAAUAGGGCCAGGCCACAUUCCUACAAUUGAAUUAAGUCAGUUCAAUAAAUGGACAGACAGUUUUGUACACCAAGAUCCUGUAGUGGUUUCAGAAGAUGGAUUCUAAUGGUGUCAUCAAAGGUAUAUUCUUAAGACAGCGCCUCCUCAUUUAAGGUUUUUGAUUGUUGGCUAUCCUGUGCCAGGCAUUUCCUAGUCCACAGGAACUGAGCAGGCUGGUCAUUAGGACAGAGAAGAGAUUGGUGCUAAUGGUUGUUAUUUUAUUUUGUUUUGUUGUUUUUUUAAUCAUGCUAUUGUUGCGUAGCAGUUGUUAUUGUAAUGUUGCUUGAAAUAUUAAUGCCCUGUAUUUACACAGGUGUUCACUUUGUUUUAUCUGAUGAGUGCUGCUUCCUAUAGGCACGUUGUCAUUAUUAAUAAUUAUUUUUUUUAUUAAUUUUUUUUAUCUAUUUCUGAUUAAUUCAACCCAGAUGUGUUUUUUGGCUUCAUUUUUUCCCCCACAAACUGUAUUCUGGAUGUUAAUUUAUAAACCUGUUUUCCUGUGCCAUUCAAAACUUAAUUGUUUUCUUGCAUGUGAAAGCAUAUGCAUGGGUUGUGCACAUCACUCCAGUGGCCCAGCUGGCUUCUUUGUGUUUUUGUAAUUGUUCGUCUCCAUCUAGACCUUUGCAUUUCUUGUCACAAAGCCUUCUCUUAAUUAAGGCCUUCAGCAUAUUUAUGAACAUGUCAUUGCAAGAGAGUACCUGAGCAAGACCCUUUCUGUAAGGUCAUCACAAGCUGGUAUGUCUAUCAAUCAGUAUUCUCUACCCUCUCCUUUCUGUGCUUCAGAACAGCUUUGGCUUAAUCACAUCCUUAGGAAAGAUCAUUCCAGAUCUGAUUUCUGUUCAGAGAUAGUAAUUCUGGCAUUUGUCAUAAAGCUGAAUUACACACAGUCUGGUUUAAGUGCAGUCAGAGCACAUAGUCAGCUGCGUGGAACACAUCCAUGCUUAUGUCUCACCUUCACUAGACUGUAGGGUACACGACCUGUGCUAGGAAUCAGUUUGGGUAUUAUGUUACAAGGUUUCGCAGUUGUAGGAAAUUCAGGUUAUAUACUUUAUAAAACAGUAGAAAAGGAAAGGAGUUGGUUCUCAGACUCACCUUUCCACUGGACAUGAGUUUGAUUUAGAAAUUUUUUUACUCAGCAUAAACAUUCAUGAGAGGUGCUAGUGGGCAAUCACUCAUAAUAACAAGCAACAAAGAGUAUCAUUGUGAAAACAUGUGGAAUCCAGAUUCAAUUUUCUGAAUAUACAGAGCAUUGUUAUGGGGAAUUGUGCUGUAGUCAGAUGGACAGAGGUAUGGGCUAUCGUCUGGGAACAGCAAUAUUCCCCAGUACAGUAACUGUUUUGCUUGGUUAUAAACUGUAGCUUUGUACACUGCUAGUGACAUUUUUUUAUAAAUGAGAUCUAUAUUCUGUAUAUGAAAAGGUACACCACUUUCUUCUUACAACCAAAAGACCUCAAAAUGAGUAGAUUGGGAAUAUUAAACUGACUCUGUAUGAGUGGACUUACCCCAUCUGGCCCUGGUCCUACCUUGUAAAUGAUAUUGCCAGGGUAGGCCUUAGCCCCCUCCAAAACCUUAAACUACAAUUAGUAAAGGAUGUGAGAAAAAAAUGAGGGACAGUAUUAUCUUUGGUAGAGCAGAGUCUUCAGUUUUUCAAGUAACACAACUGAUUAAGUGUCUCACUUGGCCUGUUCAUCAUAGAAGCUCCACUGUGCAUUGUACUGUAUUAGUGAGUCAGUGUUCUAACAAGCCAUCAGACCUCCUUUUUUUAUCAUGAAGGUUGAGUCAAGAUUGAGCAUACAAAGCAAGUAGUUAAGCCUAACACAAAUGUGUUCAUUGAUGGCCGAGGAUGGUCAAAGUGCUGUACAGAUGAACUGAAGAGUGAGAGAAAUUUAGCAGCUCUUGUCUCUGAAAGGAUUAGCCACAUGUAGAGAAAUUGUUGUCUUAUCAAAGGUGGCCUCUGUUAAGGUUGACUUCUGUGCAGUUCCCAUUUUCCAUCCUUAUUAGAAUUGAUUCCAACUAAACUGUUAAUUGUUGACUAAUGUCAAAAAGUUCUAGAAUUUUCAUCUAAGAGGUGUCAUCUCCUCUUAAGUUGAUCAGUGGAAUUUGUCAAUAGCCAGGAGAACAGCAGUUUGACCAGAACAAAAGUAGCAAAUGGCUUGGACCCAUGACCCCACAAUGGAUGAAGUGAGUUCAGAAAUACAAACAUCUUUUCUAGUUGGUCAAAUCAGCGAUCUGAACAUGGUCAUUUCCAAGACUAUUUGGAUCUUUUUUGCAUGCAGUAUUACCCAUACUUUUUUAUUGGAGGUUGUUAUGUUUGUGAGUCUCUGCCUUAUAAGGGAGGGAAAAUAAUUUUGAAUAUUAUUUAAGUCACUUAUUUGAAAUCAGGGUAUGAAGCCAUGGGGCAUAUCAUUUGGCAUUGUGGGCCACAAUGAAUGCUGCUUUUUUAUAGCUAGUAGAUUUCCUGCAUUUUCAAUGGACUUCUAGCUUUAUUUUGAACUUUGUGUGGCUUAUAUUGCCUUCAGGAAAAAAAAAACAUGUUCUUAAAGUUUUAACAUUUAAUAUUUGUGCCUGGGCUGUUUAGAACAAACAUUUUUUUACUUCUUUAUAAAUACCAUGUAAUUUUCUCAGAGGGCCAGUCAACUGUCAUGUUCUAUGCAGAAGUGACAUGUCCUAACACUGCAGUUCACGCAGAACUGCAGUUCUUAAACUGCCUGAUAGACUGGCUUCCCUUUCAUAAUGUAAUUCCAGCUCCACCACUUCUCACUCAUAGCCGUCCGUGCUCAGGAUGAAUACUGUAGAACUUAAAACACAAACAGGUAUAUAAGGCACAAAUAAGGGGCAGGUCAGGAUAAGGCUAACAGUCCAAUAGGUUAGGUUUAUCCCACCAGAUCACCUCCCACCAGGAGCAGCUUUUGUAAUGACCUGAUCCUUCCUCACACCUUGUGAUGGAGAAGAACUUAAGAUGUAGAGCAAAGGGGGCAAGUGCUUUUCCAGGAGAAGCCCCACUGGAUGAUCUGAAUGAGUGAGACUUUGGCCUGAGGUCAGUUAGUUGAUGAGGUGGUGACUGAACGUUCCAGCACACAAGGUCGGGUUUCUCCUCGACCAGACUGAGCCAGUGCUUGUAUUCUGCAAGACACAAACUUAAAAAAAUUACUAAGUGGGAUUGUGACAGGAUGCAAGGUGCAGCUUUUGUCAUUGGAUAUUUGUGUUUUUUUUUCUAAGGCUUCUUUUUAUAGCUUUUCUAACUGUGGCAUUAUUCUGCAUUGAUGUACAGAGGUGAGUGCAGAAGGUCCCCCUACACAUACUAGUGUAAGGGGAAAUGCAGAUAAAAGAUGCAGCAAAUUGUAUUUUUCAAUUUGUUUCUUGUUGUAUAUUUGGGUUUUGACUGUGCCAAAUUUGAUCUAGUGUAUAAUAUUGUUUUACUAAAUGUGAAUUAAAAUAAUUUAUUUCAA